rnacentral:snoRNA from 1 species
AUGCAAAUACUCUUGCUGUUCUAAUUUUAUAAUAGUCAGGACAGGCUAAACAUUUGCUAUAAUAUGAUAAAGUAUCAGAUCUGGUACUUAAUCCGUCUAGGUCUGGUCUUUGAAAUGCUGGUGAUAAAU